UAUCCAUUGUGAUUACAGGUGGGAAAUAGUUUUAAAGGAAAAGUACAUCUGUGAAACAACUUCUGCAUCUUUCAAACCUGAAAAUGACUUUUACAAUUUAAAUGGAGCACAGUCUUUGGAUGACAUCGAUUGUCUGUUAGUAACUCCUGGAAAUUCAAUGGUGAUAUCAAAGGCUUUUGGUCUGACAAAGGACAAUAGAUCUCUGGCACCACGACCACACCAUCAUCCUCUGUGACAAUAGCCGUUUCUCAAUAUGCGUUCUUGUCUGUACUUGCGUUCUUGUGGACUUGUGAAACGUCAUCAGCCGCGGCCCAAGUACUGUUCCAAUUCAAAGUUCACAUCAAGCCAAGUUCACAUUAAAUCCCCGGAUGUGUUCUUGCUCCGCCCCUUUUAUCGAGGAUGCAUCGGGAGGAGACUUGUGCGGACUUGUUACGUCCCAUAACCCAGAAUUCAGUUCGCUACUUCGCGUCAACCGACAACAAUCUGCAAUGGCGGCAGCGGAGGAGAAAGCUCACAAUUGGACUGCUGAGGAAACUAAAAUCCUUAUAGAGUGGCGGGCAGCCAAUGAAACUGUUUUUACAGGGAGGCGCAACUCCUCAAAAAGUGGAUGGGAGCACUUUGUUUCCACUUCUGGUUUGGCCAUAAGUGCCAAACAAGCCAAAAAGAAAUGGAACAAUUUAAAAGACAAAUACAAGGUAAACUGCUCAUUCUGGAACAAGUAUAGUUUACCUCAAAAUAACAAUUCUGUCAUUUACUCACCCUUAAGUUGUUCUAAGUUUUUCUGUUUGGCUCUACACACAGGAAAAAAAUUACUACAAAGUCGUAGUUCACUGACAACCUGGGCCAUAUCGCAUCCAUAUCACAGGCGAUACGUCCACGAUAAUUAAUGCGAAAUUGCCCCGGUUGUCAGUGAACUACAGCUUUGUGUAGCAAAAGCCGCUCCAUCUGAAAAGCAGGUGAUGGCGAUUUAUUACUUGUCAUGGGACCGGCUUUACUGACGAGAUGCUCAAUGACAAUCACAUGCAAAUUAUCACGGAUCCCUAGUACAUGCCAGUUUUUACUUUAUUUCAGGAGCUUAGGGAUCCACCCACAGGGAAAGGGGUAGAGGCUGGUAGUGUUACUGCAGCCACCUGGCAGUGGUACACAGCAAUGGAUGCUGCACUAAAUGCGCAGCACUCCAUUGCUCCACCCCUGGUUGUGGCAUCAAACCUGUGUGCCACUACAGGUGGCUCAGUGAGUACACCAGCCUCUACCUCUUCUGAGGAAGAAAGAAGCAGCCAGCCACUAGCAAGAAAAAGGCAGAGAGGCAGCGAGGCUCUUCUCGAUUUUUUGAAAGAGCAGGCAGAGAGGGAAGAAGAGAGGGAGAGACGAGCGGUGGAGAGAGAAGAGGAGAGAGAGAGGGCAGCAACAGCCAGAGCAGAAAGAUACUUGUCUUUGUUUGAGAGUCUUGUUAAUAAGUUUUGAAUAAAAUGUGUUUUUUAAUAAAUUUAGUUAAUGUUUUAAAUGUAUAAAUAUGAUUUACAUAAAAUAAAUGAUUUGAAUUCAACCUAGGCAAUGCAUUCUUGUGGUAACAAAUAUUCCUUAUAUUUACAACAAUCCAAAAAUAAUAUAAUAUAAAAUAAAAUCAAGUGUCUUGCAAUUUUAUACAAUUAUUUAAGUAAUUGAAACUUCAUUAGGAAGAACACAACACAAAUAUCUGUCUACUUACCUAUGUUUACAUAUAAAUAGUAACACAUCUAAUGUUUCAAUUACUAAACUGUUUUAUGUUCAUCUUUUAGUGAACAUGUCAACGCAUGGAUAGGUUUACUGUCUAGAUGUAAUCAUGUUCAUUCAGACACCCAGGCAGUUCAUCAGGACAGGAAAGCUGAGCAGCAAGACGUCCUCGCAGAUUGUUCCCUGAUGGGUCCCUCUCAUCCACUGCUGCAUUGUCCAUGUCAUCCUCGCUGUCAUCCUGUCCACGGUUUUCAUCCUCCUCCAUGAGAUCACCUCCCAUCACACAAAUGUUGUGGAGAAUGCAACAGGCACCAAUCACCUUUGGGGUGAACAGUGGCCUGAUCUCCAGGGCCCUCAAAAAAAUUGCACGCCAGCGUGUCUUCAGCAUCCCAAAGUUACGCUCGAUAAUGUUUCUGGCUCGUGCAUGGUGCCUGUUGUAUCGGGCUUCAACUUGGCCUGUUAAUGAAAAGUCGUAAAGUCAAAACAAAUUUGCUGUAUAUUGAUAUUCUGUGUAUGUGUGAUUGUGUGUUUUUUUUACUUGCAACAGGCUGUCGGUAUGGAGUCAUGAUAGCAAUAGGAUACUGCAGGCAUGGGUAUCCACCAUCUCCCAAGAGACAGUAUCCAGCAGGAGGAUACAGAGCCUGCUGGUACAUUGGUGAUCUGCGCAAUACGAGGGCAUCAUGUACAGAUCCGGGAUUUCCAAUAUACACAUCUAUAAAUGCACCCCUGGAAUCACAGGUACCCUGUAGUAUGAUUGAUGGGAAAAGCUUUCUGUUUAUGUAGCACUUUUUUUGUGGCUCUGCAGGAGGAACAAUCCGGAUGUGGCACCCAUCGAUGGCACCUGCAGCACAGCGGAAUGCCUCAUGGCCAGCAAGGCGAGCAAACCCGGCACCCACCUCCUCCAUUUCCUCUGGUUUAGGAAAAUGAAUAACUCGGUGGAGGAUGGUCAUCAUCUCCUCCACAACGCUGUGAACAGUCCUACAAACCGUCGCAAGUGGCAUGCUAAAGGUGUCUGAAGUGACCCUGUAAGAUGCUCCACAAGCAAGCCAAUAGACUGUGACCAGCACUUCAAUUUCAUGGCUCCACCCAUGGGCUUUUUGGCGUGGCAGCAUUUGGACCAAAGCAUUAAUGCUGUUUCUAGAGACUCUGAAUGCUGGCUUUAGAUUCUCUCCAGAAAAAAACUUGACCAGGAUAGGUACCUGGUUGUUGAUCCUACAAUACUUUUGGAUGGGAGUUUGGUCCUGUUAAAAUAUGAAUAAUCUAUGAAUUGAAUUAUUUAUUGCUUUUUAUUUUUGUGUGUAUUUGAUGUAUUUAUCCAGUAUUCAUUAAAUUGUGUUCUGCAGAAAUUGCCAUGCAAUGUUUGUUGAUCUGUUUGGUGAGGUGUUUAAUAAUAGUUAAUUUGUUUCAUUCAUUAAGCACUACAACAAGGGUUUCCCAAGUUGUAGCUUGUAUGAUUUUUCUAAAUAUAAAAUGUCCCGUUUGUGUUAAUGCAGUAAUAUGGUAAAUUUGGGCUUAUUCAUUUCAAUAUUAUUCUAAUGUAGUCUCAUAGGACAUCCUUGCAAUGGAUCCCACUACAAUUUUUGUGAUUUAGUAUUUAAUUUGGUGUGUUCAUAAGAUGCUUGUGUGACAUGAAAGA